GACGAACGCUGGCGGCGUGCUUAACACAUGCAAGUCGAACGGAAAGGCCCUGCUUUUGUGGGGUGCUCGAGUGGCGAACGGGUGAGUAACACGUGAGUAACCUGCCCUUGACUUUGGGAUAACUUCAGGAAACUGGGGCUAAUACCGGAUAGGAGCUCCUGCUGCAUGGUGGGGGUUGGAAAGUUUCGGCGGUUGGGGAUGGACUCGCGGCUUAUCAGCUUGUUGGUGGGGUAGUGGCUUACCAAGGCCUUGACGGGUAGCCGGCCUGAGAGGGUGACCGGCCACAUUGGGACUGAGAUACGGCCCAGACUCCGACGGGAGGCAGCAGUGGGGAAUAUUGCACAAUGGGCGGAAGCCUGAUGCAGCAACGCCGCGUGCGGGAUGACGGCCUUCGGGUUGUAAACCGCUUUCGCCUGUGACGAAGCGUGAGUGACGGUAAUGGGUAAAGAAGCACCGGCUAACUACGUGCCAGCAGCCGCGGUAA
rnacentral:rRNA from 1 species